AAGGAAGGAAGGAAGGAAAAGAAAGAAGGAAAGAAAGAAAGAAAGGAAAUAAAAUUAGUGGGAAAAAGGCCACAUUUUCAGUGCUGUUAAAAGAUACUAUGUUUAGAUCACUUACUACAUAAGAAAUAGGAAAGCUUCCCAGCAUAGUUUUUCCCUCGCCUACUUCAAACAACAGCAUCGUUCGAACUGGGCAAAAGGAAAGCACUGGGGCAUCUGCUUAUCUAAUGAAACCCUUUGUUCCUCUAGAUGGUGUUCACUGGCCCUGCCACACUUUUGCAUAAAGGCACAAGUGUUGAAUGAAUGGGGGGGGACCAACUUUCUGCACCUCGGUGAGAGUUGUGCAGCUAUGUAACUAAUCACAGCGUACUGACAACAGUUACGGUCUUAUCACUGCUGGUGCAAAUCUGCAGAAAAGACAAAAAAAAAAAAAACCCACUGAUUUCAAAGGAGUUACUCUGACUUUUGUCAGGGAAUGGAUUAAUCCUGCUUUUCUAUCUCUAUGUUACUUUGAGUCAUGACGCAGCUUGUCCUAAAUCAUCAUCAAGUGGGCAGUCUCGUGACUGAGCCAGACUGGUUGUGAAAGUCUUUGACCUUUUAAUUUUUGCUGUACGCUUUCAGAUCUGUCAUAGAGCCACAGAGUACUUAUUUCUAAAAAAAAUUAUUAGGAAAAUAAAUGUUUGAUUAUGAAAUUGCUGCUGUUUCUGCUGCAGGGAAGUGAUAACUCUUGUUUAUUUUAGUAUUUGGUAGGGAGGGAGAGGGAACAGAAGUGGGAAUUGGCUGUGAAAAACAAUUUUAUGCCUUCACAAGAGUAAAUUGUAUUAAAGUUAUAUUCUUCCACCACUGCAGUUGUUGUACACGAGGAGAGUCUAUAUGCUGCUACUGCUGUCUGGAACAGUGUUUGCAAUAUACUAUACCAAUAGCUAUUUAAUCAUUUAUUAUUUGGGUUAUCAUUUGUAAGUGUAUAACAAUCAUUUAUAAAGGGAGAAAAAAUGAUUAAAACAUCAUUUUAAACAAAUUCCUACUAAUACGAAGCUUUUCAAAUAUGAUUUGUCUAAAUGUAUGUCACUAGGGAAAAUGGUACUUUCCAAAGGUCUACUGGAUUCACAAUGCACUUUUAGACUGUGUUUAGGUAUGUAAUAAAAAGCAGAAGUUGGCAAUUACUACAGUAGAACUUUCUGAGAUUUCUGUAACAAUUGUUUUGCAAUAAAAAAAAGGAUGUAGUUCAAAAUACUUGUACUUACUGGUGCAUUUAUUCAUAGUCAUUUGCUUUCACAACAAUAAAAAUAAUAGCACGAUGGGAGCUGCUUUCCUCAGCGAUCUCUCACUGCUCGAAUUCUGACUGCAGCUUCUUAAAAACAAUAAGGUUUGCUGUCUUGCACGCAAAUUCUGAACUAUUUCCAUGUCUGAUACAGGGUGUUAUUCAGGUAUCCCUUCUCCUGGUCAAUAUCAGACCCCGGUUUGAAUGCAGACGUUCUGAUGUGUUUUUUGGAGAGAGGGAUAGCCUCUGCUGUUUACCAUUACCACUUCAGCAAGCUGAAAGACAUGAGCGCUGACUGCAGAUCUUCCCUCAGCAGCUUCCACACAGAAUUGAAGACUCAUUUGCUCAUUUGCAAGGCACUACACCCAGCGGGGUGGUGUUGUAGCUGGGGACUGUUCGUUGAAAACAAAGGCUGCAACAUACACCACUGGUAGCUGUGACCUCCUCCCUGCAGGUAUCGCACCUUCCUUAAGAAAGGAGCCGUUGCCUCUCUCUACGUUGCUCUGCAAUUAGCCCUGAUCCUUCCUCACAAAAAUGCUGAAAAGAAAGGUGCCGACUCAAAGUAAGCCAAGGUCAGGAUCUGCUCCCUCUGCAAAUGAGUCUUCAAUGAGACGAUACAUAUUUUAACCAGAUGCAAAAGAGACGUGGGAAAUAAAUAUCCCAUUGAAUAUGAAGAUAUUCAGGUAUCAGAUACUGAAAGCAGUUCUGCACAGAUCGGUCACAUUUCAGGAGAGGAACAGUUAAGAGAAGUGUUCUUUAUUUCAGGUUUCUCAGAAGGAAAUGAUACAUUUCUUAAUCAGAUUUUAUCUAAUCCAUUCUCAGGGACUGCCAUUCAGCAGACUUUGAAGCUUUGAAGCCUUAACACGCAUACUUUAAAAAAAUAAAAAAAAAAAAGAUCUGUGCCUGAUGGUCUCUUUCCAGGUAACAGUAUUUAUACCUGACAUUUUUCACAGGAACAAACCACCCAAACCCAGCAAAUUAAUACCUGCUGGAAAACGACGUCACCAGCCCUAGUUCUCAUGCCUACGAGUUGCGCUUCUGUAGCCUGCAGGGCAGUGGUGUGGUCUCUGUUACUCUCAUUACAUGUAGAGGCAAAGAUCUCAUUUUGAAGUUGCCCAUUUCCAUCACCCCUGACUCUUUGUCCUCAUGACUGAAUUCAGCCAGAACUUACAGUACAGAAAUAUUUCUGCAUCCUCACUGCAUGUUUCUGCAUGUCAAGCUUGAAUUCCACCCUGAUUGUAUUUCCUGAAAAAAAAAUGAAAAUAUUAUAAAAUCCCAAUAAGUCGUGAUCUUGAAAUUUUCCAAUAACUGAUUGCAGCAUAAAUAUUUGUGAAAUUCUAGGAAGCAAUAAUGACAAGCAGUAUCUAAGAGAAGGUUAUUGCAGCAUGCUUAUGCAAAAUAACAAUAGCAUCCCAUGAGCACUUACAGACAUCCCACUGCAGAGGAUACUGAGGCAACUGCUGCAGAGAGCUAUGAGUGAAUUAAGAAUAGCUUUGCAAGGAACAGCCUUUGUCAGUGUGGAUUUCAAAACAAGAAGUUUGACAGCUAUAGAGACAGCCAACAAGACUGAUAUGUUCUAACAUCUUCCAAAACUUAAUUUUUUAGCUACACCUUUCCUUACUUAAAUACAUACCAAAUGUCACAUGCCCUCCAUUGAAGCAGCCUGUCAAAGCAUAGAAUUACCCUUAUAAAGCAUUCUACUGGUUUGGGUUCACAGUGUGUAAAGAUGAAUUUUUUAUAACCUUGCAAAAAAAAAAAGAGAGAGAUUCUGAAAUGUUAGCUGAAAAUGCUAACAAAUUUUUUGGGCCUUUUUUGAAAGAUUGCAAAAAUUCAAUAGCAAAACACUAUUUGCUAAUUAAAAAUUUUAAACUAAAAAUACUUAUUUUGCAAAUAUAUAUAUAUAUAUUCUGUAAAUAUCAG
ensembl:lncRNA